AUCGAACGCUGGCGGCAUGCCUUACACAUGCAAGUCGAACGGCAGCACGGGGCAACCUGGUGGCGAGUGGCGAACGGGUGAGUAAUGCAUCGGAACGUACCUUUCAGUGGGGGAUAACGUAGCGAAAGUUACGCUAAUACCGCCUAUUCUGUGAGCAGGAAAGCAGGGGAUCGCAAGACCUUGAGCUGAUUGAGCGGCCGAUGUCAGAUUCGCUAGUUGGUGAGGUAAAGGCUCACCAAGGCGACGAUCUGUAGCGGGUCUGAGAGGAUGAUCCGCCACACUGGAACUGAGACACGGUCCAGACUCCUACGGGAGGCAGCAGUGGGGAAUUUUGGACAAUGGGGGCAACCCUGAUCCAGCCAUGCCGCGUGAGUGAAGAAGGCCUUCGGGUUGUAAAGCUCUUUCGGCCGGGAAGAAAUCGCACGGGCUAAUACCCUGUGUGGAUGAUGGUACCGGAAUAAGAAGCACCGGCUAACUAUGUGCCAGCCGCCGCGGUAAAAC
rnacentral:rRNA from 1 species